rnacentral:rRNA from 1 species
AUUGAACGCUGGCGGCAUGCCUUACACAUGCAAGUCGAACGGUAACAGGUCUUCGGAUGCUGACGAGUGGCGAACGGGUGAGUAAUACAUCGGAACGUGCCCGAGAGUGGGGGAUAACGAGGCGAAAGCUUUGCUAAUACCGCAUACGAUCUCAGGAUGAAAGCAGGGGACCGCAAGGCCUUGCGCUCACGGAGCGGCCGAUGGCAGAUUAGGUAGUUGGUGGGAUAAAAGCGUACCAAGCCGACGAUCGGUAGCUGGUCUGAGAGGACGACCAGCCACACUGGGACUGAGACACGGCCCAGACUCCUACGGGAGGCAGCAGUGGGGAAUUUUGGACAAUGGGCGCAAGCCUGAUCCAGCCAUGCCGCGUGCAGGAUGAAGGCCUUCGGGUUGUAAACUGCUUUUGUACGGAACGAAAAGACUCUGGUUAAUACCUGGGGUCCAUGACGGUACCGUAAGAAUAAGCACCGGCUAACUACGUGCCAGCCGCCGCAGUAACAC